rnacentral:rRNA from 1 species
GAAAGAGUGGCUAAUACCGCAUAUACCNUGAGGGGGAAAGAGGGGGAUCGCAAGACCUCUUGCUAAUGGAGUGGCCGAUAUCGGAUUAGCUAGUUGGUGGGGUAAAGGCCUACCAGGGCGACGAUCCGUAGCUGGUUUGAGAGGACGACCAGCCACACUGGGACUGAGACACGGCCCAGACUCCUACGGGAGGCAGCAGUGGGGAAUUUUGGACAAUGGGGGCAACCCUGAUCCAGCCAUUUCGCGUGUGUGAUGAAGGCCUUCGGGUUGUAAAGCACUUUUGUCGGGGAAGAAAUAGCGAAGGUGAAUAGCUUUUGUGAAUGACGGUACCUGAAGAAUAAGCACCGGCUAACUACGUGCCAGCAGCCGCGGUAAUACGUAGGGUGCGAGCGUUAAUCGGAAUUACUGGGCGUAAAGCGUGCGCAGGCGGUUCGGAAAGAGAGAUGUGAAAUCCCAGGGCUUAACCUUGGAACUGCAUUUUUAACUACCGGACUAGAGUAUGUCAGAGGGGGGUGGAAUUCCGCGUGUAGCAGUGAAAUGCGUAGAGAUGCGGAGGAACACCGAUGGCGAAGGCAGCCCCCUGGGACGAGACUGACGCUCAUGUACGAAAGCGUGGGUAGCAAACAGGAUUAGAUACCCUGGUAGUCCACGCCCUAAACGAUGUCAACUAGCUGUCAGGGCUUUCGGGCUUUGGUAGCGCAGCUAACGCGUGAAGUUGACCGCCUGGGGAGUACGGUCGCAAGAUUAAAACUCAAAGGAAUUGACGGGGACCCGCACAAGCGGUGGAUGAUGUGGAUUAAUUCGAUGCAACGCGAAAAACCUUACCUACCCUUGACAUGUCUAGGAUCCUGAAGAGAUUUAGGA